CAGCAGCCACGGUAAUACGUAGGGUGCGAGCGUUAAUCGGAAUUACUGGGCGUGAAGCGUGCGCAGGCGGUUGUGUAAGACAGGUGUGAAAUCCCCGGGCUUAACCUGGGAACUGCGCUUGUGACUGCACAGCUAGAGUAUGGCAGAGGGGGGUGGAAUUCCACGUGUAGCAGUGAAAUGCGUAGAGAUGUGGAGGAACACCGAUGGCGAAGGCAGCCCCCUGGGCCAAUACUGACGCUCAUGCACGAAAGCGUGGGGAGCAAACAGGAUUAGAUACCCCCGUAGUCCCUGUCUCUUAUAC
rnacentral:rRNA from 1 species